AACGGUCUAUACCUGCGGUACCUGCGGAAGGAUCAUUACCGAGUCCUGGGGGCAAGUCCCUCAACUCCCACCCCUUGUGUACUGCAAUGUUUUUUCGGCGAGGCUGGUUCCAGCAAUUUUCGUUCUGGAGGGAGCAAGUUCCCAAUCGGGAAGGAGCUACUUCCUAGAUGAAAGGAGCCAGAACCGAAAUCGCCGAGCUUACUCUUGUUUUUGGGUUGUCUGAUUUGAGACCAAAUCGAA
rnacentral:misc_RNA from 1 species